AAACUAAAAAGUUGCGUAAAGUCGAUGAACCAGUCGCUAGGCCACGCGGCGAGGAGCCCAAGACGGCUGUAACGGUGCGUGAUGGGUACGGCGCGUCGAAAUCCGCGGAUAAAAAUGGUCAUAACUUCUGUACCAAUCGUUUCCCCGCCAAGUAUGACACAUCGAUAGAUGCGGAAUCAGACGAGGAAUCGAUUGGACAUAUUUUUUUUAAAAUCAAAAAAUAGCUUUUUUGGGUAUUUACGAACAUGUAAAAUUCGACAGAUCAAAAAUCCAAAAAAAGAGGUAAAUCGUCAGUUUAAUGUUACGUUCCGUACAAAAAUCAUACAUAAAACAAAAGUGCAUGAUUUUUAAAGAAUUUUAGCGCAAACCGCAGAUCAAUAACUCAAUUGGUUCAAAAGUUAUCGAAUUUUUAAGGUUGCAACUUGGCAACGCCGCCAAAGCGCGGGAAAAUUUUUUUUGGACUUGAAAUUAUCAGAAACGGGGCUCUUUGUUAUGGUAAAAUAGCAUACUAAAAAAUGGAAGCAAUCGGAGCUACGGGGGAUUUGGCCGUUUUGCAUAAGGCUCUUUGUAAUUUGUUGCAUCUAGGAAAUUUAUUACGAGCAAAUUAAUUUGAUAUCAUUUUCUGGACGAAUGAAAGUUGAUCUAAACUGGCCACCAAUUGCUGGGCGUCUGCAGUGGAUGAUUAAACUUAAAAGUCGAAUGGAUUCUUGCUUCCAAAAGUACAAAGAAUGGGAUUGCAAAGUUGUCCAGUCAGAGGAGUCUUUGAAUGUGCUUAAAAAGUAUGAUGACCUAAUGUUAAAACUGAAUGAUCUUGAACUCAGCACAAUUUCUAAAUGGGUGAACGAGAUUCAGGACAUAAUUAGAAAACAUAUGAACAAAAGUCUUUUGCAACAGAUGUUCAGACCCAUUUGCUGUCCAUAAAUUAUAGUGCAGAGGUGAGUUUUUGGUUCGCGCACUCCGGUCAAUUUUAAAACUUCAUGUGUAUUCUUUACUAACUGUUCGGGGUGCGUUUCGUGCGCUCUCACAGCUAGACAGGUGGUAUCUUCCUACAUCACCGGUCGCUCGAGUGACUUUAAGACUCGCAUAGCGACCUUUAUUCUAAUGAUUAAUUACCUAGUUUGUUUUUUGAAACAUAUAAUGAAUCGAAAUUUAUAAUUGUUUUCAAAUAUUUUAGUACCUUUCGUCCUAAUUUUAUUGUUAUUUUAGUUUAAUCCACAUUUGACGAAUCAAGAACUUGUGCCCACUGGCUUACUGAAAAAAAUUGCCUUGAAAAAGAAAACAUAUUACGCUUUCAAGAUACGAGUUCUUCAUAAACAAUAUUUUUCGUUGUUAC
rnacentral:lncRNA from 1 species